rnacentral:sRNA from 1 species
AUUCUGUUUGAAAAGGCAGACCAGAUGGCAACAAGGGGUUUUAAAAAUAGACUAGGUUACCCCAUAUAGAAGUUGGGAAAAACCUCAUCUUCUGUUUGAAAAAUUCUUCAAUUGAGUGCAUGAAUAGUGGGAGCAUAGAAACUUCUAGGGAGGUGUUCUGUGGUUUCUAGAGUCAAAAUGGUGUUAAAAUACAGUAAUAUUAAUUGCCUCAGGAAGCACGAAUGUGGGUGACCAGCUUCCCACUGGGCAGCUGUCAGUGGUGCCUUGGCGACGGACUGGGGUGAAAUACACCAACAAUGAGGCCUAUUUUGAUGUGAUUGAAGAGAUUGAUGCAAUUAUUGAUAAAUCAGGCUCCACAAUUACUGCUGAGAUCCAGGGGGUGAUUGAUGCCUGUGUCAAGCUGACUGGCAUGCCAGACCUUACACUUUCCUUCAUGAACCCUAGGUUGUUGGAUGAUGUCAGCUUCCAUCCUUGUGUUCGUUUCAAGCGCUGGGAAUCUGAGCGCAUCCUCUCCUUCAUCCCUCCUGAUGGAAACUUCCGCCUGCUGUCUUACCAUGUCAGUGCACAGAAUCUGGUUGCAAUCCCAGUGUAUGUCAAACA